rnacentral:lncRNA from 1 species
ACCAUGUGAGCAUGAAGGAAGAGCUGAGAAGCAAUCCCAGAGACAAGGGGAAAGGCACCAAGCAAGACCCUUCUUGUCGUCAGAAGGAGCAGACCCAUACUGUACUUUUUUGUUGGAUUUCCAGCCUCAGAGUCCCACUCCUACCCUGUUCUGUGCCGGUUAGGGAAGAAGAACUUCUGUUGUGUCCAUGAACAGAGAACAGCAGCGGUCUCUAACUUCCGCACAGGGGAACCUGCAGGUGUUGGAGACAGUGGAAUGGCCUCGGAUGAUGAAUCAGGGAGGCUGUGUCCUCUGCUCUCUGGCCCUCCACCGUUCAUUCUCCUGUGUAAGUGCCAGUGUGUGUUUCUUUCUCCAGCCUCACGCUCUAAACAAGAUGCCUCUGGCAGAGGCCCGGGUAGAUGGAGUCUCUCAAGUCCAGUACAACUUCAUUGUCCCUGACUUAUGAAGGGUCUGCAGCAUCCCCAGCUUUUACAACAGAUUCCAUAAUCUGUUUGGUGGAGUACUGGAAAAUCCUACCGAAGACAUGGAAGCUACCAGACCUUCUUCAAACGGGUGAAAUCUCAUAGCAUCUUGGCUUAUCUUGACAGCUGACAUCUACUUUAAGUCGAAGUGUUUACUCAUCAAGACGUCUUUGCCGACACGCACACUUGCCUGAAGACAUCACGCACACAUGCGUAAGCACUCACGUGGACCCGAGGGUUUGCAGCCUCACAGGAACAGUGCUCGUGGAGGAAGUCCUGUGUGACUCAUUCUGUUUGUGUGCUUGGCUGAUGUUUCCGGUUUCCAUGUAAUUUGCUCCUUUUGUAUCAAGACAGAAGUAACGGUG